GCCUUUGUGAUGAAAUGGUAGACAUAUCGACUUCAAAAGUCGACGCAUAAUGCAUGUCGGUUCGAGUCCGACCGGAGGCA
rnacentral:tRNA from 1 species